rnacentral:rRNA from 1 species
GACGAACGCUGGCGGCGUGCCUAAUACAUGCAAGUCGAACGCAGUGGGGACGGGUGAGUAACACGUGGGUAACCUCCCAUCAGAGGGGAUAACACUUGGAAACAGGUGCUAAACCGCUACUGAUGGAUGGACCCGCGGUGCAUUAGCCGGUUGGGGGGGUCACGGCUCACCAAGGCAGCGAUGCAUAGCCGACCUGGGAGGGUGAUCGGCCGCACUGGGACUGAGACACGGCCCAGACUCCUACGGGGGGCGUCAGUAGGGAAUUUGCGGCAAUGAACGAAAGUCGGACCGAGCAACGCCGCGGGAGUGAAGAAGGUUUUGGGAUCGUAAAACUCGGUUGUUAGGGAAGCGGUAUCUAACCAGAAAGCCACGGCUAACUACGUGCCAGCAGCCGCGGUAAUUC